UACGAAGGGGGCGAGCGUUGUUCGGAUUUACUGGGCGUAAAGGGCGCGUAGGCGGCGGCCCAAGUCGAGUGUGAAAGCCCCGGGCUCAACCUGGGAGGUGCGCUCGAGACUGGCCCGCUAGAGUUCGGGAGAGGAGCGUGGAAUUCCCAGUGUAGAGGUGAAAUUCGUAGAUAUUGGGAAGAACACCGGUGGCGAAGGCGGCGCUCUGGACCGAGACUGACGCUGAGACACGAAAGCGUGGGGAGCAAACAGG
rnacentral:rRNA from 1 species